UUAACUUUGAUGAAUAAUGAUAUUUUCCUGAAUCAGCAAUGAUGAUCAUGGAACUAGCAUUUUAAAACUGGUUAAG